rnacentral:rRNA from 1 species
AUGUACAUUCCUACAACAUAGCGUUAAUGAAUCAGAUCCCAUUAGAACUCUGCAAUUAAGCACGCUCAGGCUCGAGUAGUACUGGGAUGGGUGACCGCCUGGGAAGUUCUAGUAUUUUACAUG